rnacentral:rRNA from 1 species
CGUAGGGUGCGAGCGUUAAUCGGAAUUACUGGGCGUAAAGUGUGCGCAGGCGGCGUCGCAAGUCGAGUGUGAAAUCCCCGGGCUUAACUUGGGAAUUGCGCUCGAAACUACGAUGCUGGAGUGUGGCAGAGGAAGGUGGAAUUCCACGUGUAGCGGUGAAAUGCGUAGAUAUGUGGAGGAACACCGAUGGCGAAGGCAGCCUUCUGGGCCAACACUGACGCUCAUGCACGAAAGCGUGGGGAGCAAACAGGAUUAGAUACCCUGGUAGUCCACGCCCUAAACGAUGAUGACUAGUUGUUGGGGGAGUUAAAUCCCUUAGUAACGCAGCUAACGCGUGAAGUCAUCCGCCUGGGGAGUACGGUCGCAAGAUUA